GUUGCCUGGAGACGGGCGGGGCGUCAGCGUCGCCCUGCGGGAGCGGCGGCCCGGGUCCUCCGCGAACCCUCAGCGAGGCCGCCCGUCGGUUUCCGGAGACAGCACCGCGUACUCGGGCCUGGUGGACGGCUGGGCAGGGAAAGGCCGCUGUGAGGUUUGCUUCCUCUGUGCGGAGUCCCCGGGCCCAGCUCCGCCACUUUCGCCUUCCUGGCGAGGCAGAGCCCUGCUCACGGGUGGGGCCGGGGCACAUUGGACACCCAUGCCUGGCCCGCACCAAGGCUGCCCUUUCAAGCCGCCCUGGGGCAUGUAGAGCUGGUCCCUGGGGAAGGCUGUGCCUAGGGGCUUGGAGAAAAGCGAGCAAGACAACUACCGCCCUUGUGUCCGGCGUGGCUGUUCCCUCCUUGGUGGUGGGGACCCCACAGGCAGGAAAGGACGCUGGGUGUCCCCCACGAGGAUGUCAUCGUGAAUGAAGGGGCUGCUUUCUGUGGAGCGGGGACUUCGAGAGCAGUGUCUGGGCCAGCUUGUCUGAGCAGAGAGCCCUGGACCAGGAAGGCCGACUGCUCUGAGCACGGGCACCUGUGACAUGGGCUUUUCAGAACUGUGGAGGUCACUGAUGAUGGGAUUUCAAGUUGCUGUGAUUCUGACUGCAAAGAGGGAAUCUCCAGGACUGGAUUGUGCUUGGGAACAUGACAGCUUUUGUGGGCCCUGCAGUCAGGAGUAGCCUGACCCCAUAAACCAGGACAUUUGAGACGUGGCCUUGGGCGGUGGUCCUGCCUCAUUAAAGCAGUCUCCCUGCCACCCGCCAUUGGCACCCCUGGGGCCCUGCACCUGCCAACUGUGUGUGCCACAGGGCUGCUUCAUGUAUCUCUGUUCAUUCCCGCUCUCGGUUGUUUUCUGAAGACCAGUGGGUGCAGUGUUUUUCCGGUGUAUUUACUGCUGAGCCUACCUACUUCAGCCCCAAGUCUCCUCAUGUCACAUCAUCCGUUAGUGCCUUAUUUCAUGUGGGUGACGUUUUCUCUCCAGUGCAUCUCGGUAAUGUCAAACGUGGGCGCCCUGAACAUGCUUCAAAUAAAUCUGCAGAUGGGACAGUGAGCUUGUUCUUGACUGAGUCUUUGCCGAGUCCUGAGCCAGAGGCUUGGGUCUGGGCCAAGGUAGGCAUUCAGUGGGGCGGAGGCCUGGUUUGCGUUGGGUGAGGGUCCCUGGGACGGUGGACACAGCAAGGCAAGGGGUCUGAGGAGUCCUCUCGUGGGAUGUAUUGGAAACUUGGUAUUUAUGGUUUUUUCCCAUAAAGUUCCUGAAAUGAACAAUAAAACUGUCUGCAACUUUUA